GAGUUUGAUCCUGGCUCAGGACGAACGCUGGCGGUGCUUAACACAUGCAAGUCGAACGGAAAGGCAGCUUGCUGGGUACUCGAGUGGCGAACGGGUGAGUAACACGUGGGUGAUCUGCCCUGCACUCUGGGAUAAGCCUGGGAAACUGGGUCUAAUACCGGAUAGGACCAUGGGAUGCAUGUUCUGUGGUGGAAAGCUUUUGCGGUGUGGGAUGGGCUCGCGGCCUAUCACUUGUUGGUGGGGUAAUGGCCUACCAAGGCGACGACGGGUAGCCGACCUGAGAGGGUGAUGGCCACACUGGGACUGAGACACGGCCCAACUCCUACGGGAGGCAGCAGUGGGGAAUAUUGCACAAUGGGCGCAAGCCUGAUGCAGCGACGCCGCGUGAGGGAUGACGGCCUUUGGUUGUAAACCUCUUUCGCUAGGGACGAAGCGCAGUGACGGUACCUGGAGAAGAAGCACCCGCCAACUACGUGCCAGCAGCCGCGGUAAUACGUAGGUGCGAGCGUUGUCCCGGAAUUAUUGGCGUAAAGAACUCGUAGUGGGUGGUCACGUCUGCUUUGGAAACCAACGCUUAACGUUUGCCGUCAGUGGGGUACCGGCUUACUAAAAUGCAAAGGGAGUCUGGAAUUCCUGGGGAGCGGGGAAAAUGCCCAAUAUUAAGAGGA
rnacentral:rRNA from 1 species